AACCUCCGCAAUGUGAGAAAUCGCGACGGGGGGAUCCCAAGUGCCAUUCCUAACGGGAUGGCUUUUCAUUAGUGUAAAGAGCUUUUAGAAUAAGAGCUGGGCAAGACCGGUGCCAGCCGCCGCGGUAACACCGGCAGCUCUAGUGGUAGCAAUUUUUAUUGGGCCUAAAGCGUCCGUAGCCGGUUUAAUAAGUCUCUGGUGAAAUCCUGUAGCUUAACUGUGGGAAUUGCUGGAGAUACUAUUAGACUUGAGACCGGGAGAGGUUAGAGGUACUCCCAGGGUAGAGGUGAAAUUCUGUAAUCCUGGGAGGACCGCCUGUUGCGAAGGCGUCUAACUGGAACGGUUCUGACGGUGAGGGACGAAAGUUAGGGGCGCGAACCGGAUUAGAUACCCGGGUAGUCCUAACUGUAAACGAUGCGGACUUGGUGUUGGGGUGGCUUUGAGCUGCUCCAGUGCCGAAGGGAAGCUGUUAAGUCCGCCGCCUGGGAAGUACGGUCGCAAGACUGAAACUUAAAGGAAUU
rnacentral:rRNA from 1 species